rnacentral:rRNA from 1 species
AUACGUAGGGAGCGAGCGUUGUCCGGAAUUACUGGGCGUAAAGGGCGCGUAGGCGGCGCUUCAAGUCGUCUGUCAAAUGGGAGGGCUUAACCCUUUUUCGCAGACGAAACUGGAGAGCUUGAGAAGCAGAGAGGCAAACAGAAUUCCUGGUGUAGCGGUGAAAUGCGUAGAUAUCAGGAAGAAUACCAGUGGCGAAGGCGGUUUGCUGGCUGCAUACUGACGCUGAAGCGCGAAAGCCAGGGGAGCAAACGGGAUUAGAUACCCCGGUAGUCCUGGCAGUAAACGAUGAAUGCUGGGUGUGAGACUAGCGAUAGUUUCGUGCCGAAGUUAACGCGAUAAGCAUACCGCCUGGGGAGUACGGUCGCAAGAUUGAAACUUAAAUGAAUUGGCGGGG